CUCACACACACCAACAAGGCACUCUGACAACCCACCAGAUGGAGAAAUUCCUACUAUUACUUGUUGUGAUUACAACAUGCUGUGCUGUACCUCAAGGAUCAGGAUUGGUUCAGCGGGCGUUUCAACUAGCAUUAGUCAUUUGUAGGCCUGCUGACAGACGUCCACAUUUGGGACUACGUGCUGUCUCCCUGUGAGAUCCAGAGGAGCACCAACCACAUGAACUUGACCACCGGCGACAUACUCAACUGGAAGGCUUUGGACAUCCAGACUAAAGGCAGAACAGGCAAUCAGACUGUAACCAUUAUCACUCAAACAAAUAAUAAUCAAGUGUCUAUUAUGCUAUCUGGUAACUUUCCAUAUUGUGUAAAUUAAAAGGCCAUAUCACUAUAUGUCUUUCAGCUGACAGUAUACCAUAAGAAACUGACAAUGUAAAUAAACUGUGUUGGUUGCGUGAA